GACGAACGCUGGCGGCGUGCUUAACACAUGCAAGUCGAACGGAAAGGCCCUGCUUUUGUGGUGUUCUCGAUUGGCGAACGGGGGAGUAACACGUGUGUAACCUGCCCUUGACUUUGGGGUAACUUCAGGAAACUGGGGCUAAUACAGGAUAGGAGCUCCUGCUGCAUGGUGGGGGUUGGAAAGUUUCGGCGGUGGGGGAUGGACUCGCGGCUUAUGAGCUUGUUGGUGGGGUGGUGGCUUACCAAGGCUUUGAAGGGUAGCCGGCCUGAGAGGGUGACCGGCCACAUUGGGACUGAGAGACGGCACAGACUCCUACGGGAGGCAGCAGUGGGGAAUAUUGCACAAUGGGCGGAAGCCUGAUGCAGCAACGCCGCGUGCGGGAUGACGGCCUUCGGGUUGUAAACCGCUUUCGCCUGUGACGAAGCGUGAGUGACGGUAAUGGGUAAAGAAGCACCGGCUAACUACGUG
rnacentral:rRNA from 1 species